AGUGGAAUUUUAAAAAGGAAAGAAAAAUCACUUUUAAAAGCAUUUGGGAACUGGAAGCCAGCAGGAGAUCAUCAGACCCAAAUCCAGGAGGCGUGAAACCCUAAGAAUCAGGCCCACACUCAAGGCUGCCUUGGACCGCAGGACAUUUGCUGAUAGGAAAGAAACAGCUGGGACACUCCUCCGCUGUGCUGGAGGGGGCGUCAAAUUCAGCUGCCCACCUGGGUUCCCUGUCCUUCGGGCUGCCCCUCAGUCCUCCACGCAUCUGUGGGACACUGUUAGGCGCUGCCCUGAGCACAGAAGAGGCAGAUAUGAAGGCAAAGUCUCUCCUUACAACCCCAGGCUGGGGAGGGGCAGGUCAGGCUGUCCUCUCUGAAGGUCCAGGAGAGAAUACAACACGCAGGAUGCUGGCUCAUCCACUCCCUUCACAGCCCCGCACCCGCUGGGGAAGCAGAAAGCCCUGGGGCAUCCCAAGGAGGAGGGGGAAGAAAAGCACAGGCUCAGGUGGAAGCAGGAGCAGGGCCUUCCAGGGUUCUGCCUUGUCGACCUCUGGGAUCCAGGAGCUGACGGGGGCACCCCAGAGUCUCACGUCUGACCUUGCAUUUCGGAGGCUGUCUGUGCUCACAGGCCAGACUUCAGCAGGGCACGCAAAGCCCCUCCAUGCCCAUGCCACGGCUGCUCAUUUUUCUAGCCUCUCACUCGCCCUGCCCUGCCUCACCCCUCCCACUUUUACUGGCCCCAGAAUGGGCAGCUCAGUGGGCUGACAGGGGAGAGAAAUAACCUGGGCCAGAGGAGCCAGAGGAACCCGAAACGGACACAGGCAGUGUGUGUCUGGGGAUGGAGGAGACGAUGUGGGGAAGUGGGUACUGUGCGUGUGGAAGAGCAUGAGGUAUAUAUGGGUAAAGGGGGUUGUUGACGGUGGGGGGUGGGUGUCCAGGGCUGGCUCCUAACCUCCCGAACUGCCAUGUCUCCUGACUGCAGCGAAGCUCAGGGUACGGGGCCCAACAAGAACGCCUUCACUCCAGCACCUAGUGAAGGGCACUUCCAGCCCGAAAGGAUGAGGUCAAAGGCAGCCAACAACACCCCUGUCCUGCACGGAGGGCCUGAUGCAGCCCCUACUCCUUUUCCUCGUCAAGGUAGGUAGACGUCCUCGAAGAGCCACCUGAUGUGGCUUUGGGCCUGUGUCUGUCAGUGUUCUUCCAUGCAAGGACCAGGAGCUGACUCUGGCCACGUAAAUGAAAGGGUAUUUUUGACAAGGAUAUGCGGGGACUCAGGCCACCUGCAGGAAGCUGGAGGCACAGGCUAGGACAGUUAGGUGGGAACCAGGCAUUCAGGAAGCCAGGCUGCUGAAACCCCCCAACAGGAGCCCCCAGGCAGACACAGCCCGCACUGUAGGGCCACCGUGACUCCUUUUUCGUGACCCCUUGCUCUGGAACCCCGUGCGGGGUUGGAAGUCUGUGUUUGGGGUAAAUAGUGACAAGGGGUCCAGUGGCUCACUCUGACUAAGCAGGGAGAAGGAGCCUUGCCCACUGGGACUCACACCUCAAGGGAUUCCCUAAGACUUGGAAGGCCGUCCGGGUGUGGGGAGCAGCAACAAUAGGAAAGACCAAUAAGCUUUUAAGUUGAGUUUCAAACCCCAGGUCCGGUACGCACUCACUGUGCGACCACAGGCCACGGAUUUACCAUCCCGAAGGCGGUGUCUUCGCAUGUGAGAAAUGGGAUAGUAAUACACCUCCAAGAGGGUGGUCGUGGGGAUCAAAUAGCUUGUCCCACACGGCAUCCCAAGGCUGGGCCGACGAGUCCCCGCCCCAGCCUUGCUCAACAGACUCCUCGCCUCCCGAAGCUUUCCCAGGCCAGGGCGGCCGCCUCCCUCCUGUGGGGACAAGGAAUCACUCUGUCACUCAGGCCCCUGUUAUUCAGCUUGACAGUUAUACCCUUGUAUCCCAUGGCCCUCCGAAAUGAGGGGCACCCCGAUAAUCACAUCACAGGUAUCCUUUUUUGUAAUCUUCACAACAAAGCACAAGGUAUGUGCUAGGGUCACUCCCGUGUUCAGAUGAGGAAACUGAGACUCUGAGUGCCUUAGUAGCUUCCCCUUGGUCCUCUGAGAUGAGAGCAUGUACUGCUAACCACUAGAUGGGACCACCUCAACAACGGCUGACAGAGCCUGCCUGUGGGCACGGCUCCAGCCACCUUAGGUCACAGCACAUAGCCAGCCUGCCCCCAGAGCCAGUGCCCACUGGGAAGGUGACAGGGACCCUGCCAUUUCCUUCAGGGCUGGGUGGGUCCCUUCUUCCCCAUCCUGGUCCAAGUGUGUGGCCAGAGCUAGAGGAGUCCAGCUGGAGCUCCAGUCUGCCCAGCCAAGAGCUCAGACACCCGGCUCAGACAGUCUCCUUGGGGGCCUGGAGGAAGGAGCAACAGAAAAGGAGCUUUCUAGAAGCUACACUGAGCACGAUGUGGUCCCCAGAGAGCUCUGGAAUGAGCAGAGGACCAGAGGCCUCUCAGGCACGUCAAGGAUAACCUCUUCACAAGGGCAGCAUGUGACACAAAGGCGUGCCAUUUGCUCUGGGCGUUCAGGGCCUGGCGCCCUUCAGCCCAAGUGCCCAGGAAAGGUAGCCCUGGGCGUGCAGGAUGGAGGGAAGCAGGUCACACCUGGCUUCUGCGGGCAUGGUUUCAUUUUCCUCCUCUAAUGAAAUGUUUCUAAGAAACAUAAAAUGAAACAUUCUGAGGGUUGGGUAUUUUUCCACUUGGCAAACACCUGUGAUUUAUAUAGCACAGGCUACUCCUCCCUUACUCUAGUCCUUUCCUUCUUCCUCCCCGGCGGCAGCCCAGUGCAGGUCAGGAUCAGCUCAGCUCCCCUGUGUUGUGGGGCCCCAGGGAGAGUGUCUGGAGAGGUCUGCCACCAGCGCCCUCAAGAGCCCGCAGCAGGUGCUUGCUGCCCAACACAGUAGGCUGUAAAGUAAGAUAGGGAGUCUUGUGUCUCUGUGGUCCCUCCAGGAGCCAGAAGAGGCCAAAAGAGAUCUCCUGGUUCCCAGCAACAUCAGGAGAGCAGAGGCUGCAAAGGGCAGAGCCUCCCCAGCACCCUUUAGCCACAGGGCGACUGAAGCUUCCCUUAGCUCUCACCUUGGGCCUAAGAACCAACAGCCUCCACUUAAAAAGGAACUAGAAUUUUUUAAAAAUUUAACUUGAAGGGGUCCUGGAGUUUGUCAUUGGAGACAAUUUGCAAAUAGGAAACAAACACACACAAAAAUGAGAGAGAGAGAGAGACAAGAAGCUUUUGUCAAAUUCAUUCAUGCAACAUUUGCUUAUUUACAAAGCACACUGUGUCAUCAUUAAUGCCGAGUUACUGGAAGAUUUACAAAGAUUGUUGUAUUUAGUCCCUGGCCUCAAGGACCUAUCACGAUAUUGCCAUUUCUACUUUGCUCUCAGAUGAUCUGAAUCAGGGAACUCACCCUUGAAAGGGCUUUAUCCCAUCUAGUCUUUUUGUCAAUAAAUUUUAGAUCUGGCUUGCUUUGGCGCAGGUGCCUCGGCUAACAAUUAGAUGAAAGCCAGGUUCAAGUAGACGUAGUGUAGCCAGUGUGGGUUUCAUCUGGCGCAGGAAGCACUGAACGAGCUUCUGUCCUAUAGCGCGGCUGGGCGCCAGGGGUGCGGAGAGGGGCAAGGUCAGUCCCUGUUCUCAAGAAGAGCCCCGUCAAAACACAUCCAAAGGUAGAAUAAAUGCCAUGAAAAGACAUGACGCUCUGGGGGCAGCGAGGGUAAGACCCCUCACCUGGGAGUCAGGAAGGCUUUCUGCAGGAGGUGGCCUUAGAGAGUUAGAACAACCCGGCCUCCCCCAACCCUGCACCCUCUUCUGUAUCUCUGUCAUAUCCCAAGCUCGUCUAUUUAUUCACUCUUAAUCAUCCAUGCACACAUUCAGCAAAUAUUUAUUAAGCUCCAUGGUGUCCUAGGCACUGUGCUAGGCUUGAGAGUCCAGGGGUGAGAGCAGCACAGAUCAAGUCCCAAGUGCUUGUAGGCAUUCCACUGGGUGGGGAUGGGCGAGAGACAGCAGCCAACGGAGGGAUAAACAUAUCACCGUGUCGGCCAUGGUGAGUGUUCUAAAUUGAAAUAAGGUGCGGGGGACACAUAGCUGAGUGGAUACAGGGGAGGCCUGUGUGUUCCAUUUCAAGUACAGCAUUAAAGAAGUCCUCUCCGAGGUGGAGACAUUUGAGCAAAGACCUGAAUAAAGUAGCAGAGUGAGCCUGGGAACUCUGGGGGGAAGAAUAUUCCCUGCAGAGAGAACCGGCAAGCACAAAGGCCCUGGGGUAGGAGCAUGACGGAUGGCCAGGUGGCAGGAGCCACCUGUGAAUGAGGGGAAUGGUGGGUGGAGAGGCCAGCAGCGGCCAGGUGAGGAGACUGGGUUGCAUUCUAAAGGUGAUGGGAGGCCACAGGAGGAUUUGAACAGGGACUCGGAUCAUCUGACUUUGUGUGUUGAAGAGAUUAUUAUGGCCGUAAAAGGUCAAGGAGGGAAGCAAGGAGGACUUAGGGAGUAUUUUCAGUUUGAGGAACAAAAAAUAGAGCUGACCUUUCCGAUAUAGGGAAAUAGCAAGAGGAGUGAGGCUUGGGGCGGGGAUGUCAAGGGCUCGGGUGCGGGCGUCCCAAAUUUCAAGUGCCUGUUAGACAAACCUGAGUGGGGACACCGAGCAGGCAGUUGGAUCUGAACUUUAGGGACUAGUCAGAAACACCAUGGCCAGGCAGUGGAUGAGCACCCCCAAGAGUUCAUUCAGGUCUGGUCUGUAGGAAAUUACUAGAACUUCCUUUGCUGGAGCAAUAUCAGGAGCCCAAUGAGGUAAAAACCAAAUCGUGGGUGUAAGACAGUGAGGAUAGAUCAUGCUUCCAGAAGAACCAGAUUUGAGCUUUCCUCAUUCCCUUUGAGUUCAUUAGUUUUCACGCUUAUCUCUAUUUACCUCCUAUUUCCUUCGGGCUUUCGGUUCUGCUAUGGAGGGGAGUCUCACCUAAGUAAUUCUCACCUUUUCCUCUUUUCUGAGGCAGGUGUUUCAGGUAGAAAAGUUUCCAAACAUCCCACAUGCGGCAUUGCACAAGUUUUAAAAUGUGGUGAUUACACCGUCAUUUCGUUCUGAGGAUCUCUAAGUUUCCAUCGUGAAUGGAAAUUCUUUGACCCCCCUCUUCCUGUCUUAUCCCCAGCAAGGAUGCAGUUUACAAAGAGAAGUUUACUACAGAAGGGCCACAAAAAUGACAGGCAUAUCUGAAAAAACAAAGACAUGGAAAUUAUCAAAAUAAAAAGUGUAACCACUGCAAUGACAACCAUAUUCACUAAGUUAAACAGAAGAUGAGAUGACACGUUGAAAGGGAAUUUAUUCAGAGCACAGCAAAGAAAUGCAGGAAUAUGGGGAAAACGAAAGAGAAGUUAAAGGCCUCAAAGAUAGAACAAGGCCUGUUAUACCUGAUUGGAGUUCUGGAAGGAGAAUGAAGAUAAAAUGGAGCAGAGGUGAUCGCUACUGAGGAGAUCCCAGAAAUGAUGCAAACUGAAUGAUCUGCGAACCCACAGAUCCAGGACACAUAACAUAUGGGAAGCAAGAUAAACUAAAACCAAAUCCAUGCCUAGACACACUGCAUUGAAAUGGCAAAACAUCAAAGACAGAGAGAAGACCUUGAAAGUCACCGGGGAGAAAACACAGAUCCCCUGAAAAGGACGGUUGGAAGGAAGCCGACUUCUCAGCAGAACAAUGGAAGCCAGGAGACUGACCAUAACCCGUCGAGCGAAAAGAGCUGUCCACCUAGAUCUGUGCCCUCUGCAAAAGGGUGGCUCAGUCUAUUAAGUGUCUGCCUUCUGCUCAGGGACUCUUCCAGAAUAAGGGCCACGUAUCUACAGGAUGCAAAACUGAGAGCAUUUACCACCAAGAGAACCAUUCUAAAGAAUAAACUUCAAGGAAGAAAAUGAUGCCAACAGGAUAGUAUGAUAUGACCAGAAAAAAACGUAACUCAAAUAAUGCUUAUCGCCUUUUCAACUCCUACUUGAAGAUUGGGCUGCUGAUGAAGAUGCUAUUUCUUGGAAGCAGUCCAAAAAAAGGGAAGUUUUGUACUGUCAGAAUAUAUUCAUAAGGAAAGCAAAUUUUUGCUCUCACACAAAUGUGUAUUUUCUUCAAAACCUUGGAUAAAUAGGUCUGGGAAUGAAAUGACAGAACUGGAUUUCAGAAUAACAAAGUCCAUAAAUUUUCACCUGGAUCUAAGAUUCUAUUGUGCAUUGCGGCAAUUUCAGCAUCUUCCCUGGAGAAGAAUGACAGGAGGAAUUGAAACAGGCAUAACUUAAGAAAAAGUUGCUCUCUGGGGCACCUGAGUGGCUCACAGUGAAGUGACACACAGUGAAGUGUCCAACUCUGAG